rnacentral:rRNA from 1 species
GACCAGACUCCUACGGGAGGCAGCAGUGGGGAAUAUUGGGCAAUGGGCGCAAGCCUGACCCAGCAACGCCGCGUGAAGGAAGAAGGCUUUCGGGUUGUAAACUUCUUUUAAGAGGGACGAAACAAAUGACGGUACCUCUUGAAUAAGCCACGGCUAACUACGUGCCAGCAGCCGCGGUGAUACGUAGGUGGCAAGCGUUGUCCGGAUUUACUGGGUGUAAAGGGCGUGUAGCCGGGCCGGCAAGUCAGAUGUGAAAUCCCAAGGCUCAACCUUGGAACUGCAUUUGAAACUGUUGGUCUUGAGUAUCGGAGAGGCAGGCGGAAUUCCUAGUGUAGCGGUGAAAUGCGUAGAUAUUAGGAGGAACACCAGUGGCGAAGGCGGCCUGCUGGACGACAACUGACGGUGAGGCGCGAAAGCGUGGGGAGCAAACAGGAUUAGAUACCCUUGUA